rnacentral:lncRNA from 1 species
GUGAGCAAGAGCUCCCAAGUCCUGCUGGGUAGACUGAUGGGCAGGCCAGUAAUGACAGCAAGAAGGAUGGCAGCUAGGGUGGUCCUUUGGGACCUCGAUGGGAGGAGCUCUAAGGGUGAGCUCUUAUGGGAGGAAGGAGUAGGGCACAAAGUAUACCCCUCCGAGCCACACCCACAGUGACCUGUUUCAUCCAGUUAGGCCCCACCUCCUAACAAACCCAUUCAACUCAUUAAUUCAUUAGUGGAUUGAUCCACUUGAUGAUGAUCCAGACCCUUUUAAAAGCCCAUCAGCUGGCAGCCAAGGCUUCAACACAGUGAACCAUCACAUUAGCCUUUAGUGGCUCCUGUAAAAGUAAAACCUCCAGAGUAUCACUUGGGCAAUAAGAGUCUCCCAGUUGUCUGCCCUCCCUGCCUGGCUGUCUGCAGCAGCAUGCUGUAAUGCAGAAUGGGUGGAUCUGGGCAUGAGAAUCUCCUUCUGCCAGUAUCUCAAUCAAAGAUCAGCUCAACCCAAUUUUCUUGAUUUGAAAAAUAAAGUGAUAAAUAUUUUUCCAGGAUUUCUACCCAAGUUGACUUUUUUUGAUUCCCUGUGGCAGAGAGGUUCUUUGGGGAUUUUGCCACUAUCAGAGUCCUGUGCUUCACUGGGCUGUUUUCCUGUACUCGACCCAUUCCACAGGCCACUGGCACCCCCCGCCUCUUCCAGGGCCGCCACUCUCUGGUGUGUGCACCUGCAUUCGAAAGUGAUCAUGGGCUGCCUGUGCCCUGGUCAUCAACAAAGCAGGGAGAGGAACCGCUGAAAGCCGCUUCCCGUGUUUGCAGGGUCCAGCCUGUCCCUUGCAAAUGCUGGCGCUUUCGCACACUUCUUUCCUGCCAACACAUUCCAGUUUCAAGAGCCUUAAGGGCUGCUGUGUAAGGGGAUGCUGCGCUGGAACUGGAGAUUGCUGAAGGAAGGCCCUGGAAUAGAGGCACUGACCCUGUCAGGAUGAUGAAUGGGGUUCCUGCUCUGAAGGGAUCUCCUCAUGUUGGUUGUGGUGUUGAUUGUGGACACUGGCAUAGCAGAGUGAAGAGUGUCAUUGUCACACGACGCAUUCCAGACCUUAGUGCAGUGGCCUCAGCACAACACAGAGCACCUUUUUACUCUGCAUGAGCAAGCGGAGGGGAAGGCCUGGACUCUGAGGACUUGGGGUCCAGAGGUGGAGACCUUCCAGCUGGUUCUACCCCAUCCCAGCAGAGCCACAGAGCAUCAUAGACGGGAAGACCAGUCUUCCUUCAACUGGCCACCUCCCAGUCUUGCCUACUCCUGGUGUAACUUGUAGACCCAAGAGAUCCUGGUGAAGUUUUCUAUACCCUGCACAACCUCAAUAAAUUGUCCACCUCAAUAAAUUUUGAAACAUGCUGUGCUGUGUAUUUUUUGGGUUUUGUUUGUUUACCAAAAUACCCAUGUGUACCAGCUAGGCUGGGUAUAGAGAAGGUAGUCACAGGGUGAAUCUUCCAGUUUUCACUUACUGAGAAUUCCCACUUAGCAUGCUCCUAAGUGGGAUGUGACCUAGGGAAUUUGAGGUAGGAGGUAGGAUUUGGACUAGAGGUUGAACAAUGCCACAUGCAUCUGGGGGCUCAGGCUUAGGAGAGAAAGAGAACUGUUAAAACUAAGUUGCCUGAGCAACAUUUGGGCCAGGGAUUUGGAAGAGAAGAUGAUAAUGGGUGGAUGAAGAGAUGGAGAUGGUCUGAAGUCCUCAAGAAAGACAGGAGUGUUCUGAGGCUUGAUGGCAAAAGUAUACCAUGCUCUGGAGUGAAUUUAGGAAAACGGUUUUGAGCAAAGGUAGGAGUGGGGUGUAUGAGGAUCAGCUGCCCUUGGAGAACUCUGAGGGUCUAGUAGGCGGUGCCAGGGCCUGGGGUUUCUGUUACCCCAGGUGUAUUUGGUCUUUGGCUGGUAUGUUCAUUAGCAAUGAUGGCAAGGAUGUGCCCAGCAUGCCUGUGUAUUUCUUUUUUUUUUUUUUUUUGGUACCGGGGAUCAAACUCAGGUCCUUGAGCUUCCGAGGCAGGCAACAGAACCACUGAGCUGAAUCCCUGGCCCAUGCA